rnacentral:rRNA from 1 species
UGCAGAAUCCCGUGAACCAUCGAGUUUUUGAACGCAAGUUGCGCCCAAAGCCAUCCGGUUGAGGGCACGUCUGCCUGGGCGUCACGC